rnacentral:lncRNA from 1 species
GUUCUUUGUGUGUGUGUUUGGGAAUCCUGCAAGUUAGUCAGAAGUGCUUCCAACCAAAUUCAUCUCCUGCUAUUUCAGCUGUGCUUUAUCAUCGCUGGGGACAUCUCGACUCGGCCAAGAAACACUAUGAGAUCUCCUUGCAGCUUGACCCUGUGGCAGUAGGCACCAAGGAGAAUUACAGUCUCCUGAGAAGAAAGCUAGAACAAAUGCAGAAGAAAGAUGUCUGAUCUGCCCUUCAUGUUGGGAGUUUGUGAGUGUGUGCAUGAGGCCUCUGUUCAGAUCGUGUGCUUAUGUUUAGCCAUUUAAAAGUCUCGGACAUUUAUCUUACUCUACUGUUGUUUUUUUUUUCUAUGAAAACAAACACAUGCAAAAAGACUAUAGCACCAGCAAUACUCUCUUGAAUGACUGAUAGGAUUUUUGCAUUGAAGUUGUAUUUUUUCACACAACCCAAAUGUAAUUCUAAAAUCUCAA